rnacentral:rRNA from 1 species
UACGGAGGGUGCAAGCGUUAAUCGGAAUUACUGGGCGUAAAGCGUGCGUAGGCGGUUCGUUAAGUCUGUUGUGAAAGCCCCGGGCUCAACCGUGGGAAUGGCAAUGGAUACUGGCGAGCUAGAGUGUGUCAGAGGAUGGUGGAAUUCCCGGUGUAGCGGUGAAAUGCGUAGAGAUCGGGAGGAACAUCAGUGGCGAAGGCGGCCAUCUGGGACAACACUGACGCUGAGGCACGAAAGCGUGGGGAGCAAACAGG